rnacentral:rRNA from 1 species
UCCAGACUCCUACGGGAGGCAGCAGUGGGGAAUAUUGCACAAUGGGGGAAACCCUGAUGCAGCGACGCCGCGUGAGCGAAGAAGUAUUUCGGUAUGUAAAGCUCUAUCAGCAGGGAAGAAAAAAAUGACGGUACCUGAGUAAGAAGCACCGGCUAAAUACGUGCCAGCAGCCGCGGUAAUACGUAUGGUGCAAGCGUUAUCCGGAUUUACUGGGUGUAAAGGGAGCGUAGGCGGCGCGUUAAGUCUGAUGUGAAAACCCGAGGCUCAACCACGGGAGUGCAUUGGAAACUGGCGGGCUGGAGUGCCGGAGAGGUAAGCGGAAUUCCUAGUGUAGCGGUGAAAUGCGUAGAUAUUAGGAGGAACACCAGUGGCGAAGGCGGCUUACUGGACAGUCACUGACGUUGAGGCUCGAAAGCGUGGGGAGCAAACAGGAUUAGAUACCCGCGUA